rnacentral:rRNA from 1 species
CUUCCGUAAGGGGAACCUGCGGAAGGAUCAUUACAGAAUGAAAAGUGCUUAACUGCAUUUUUUCUUACACAUGUGUUUUUCUUUUUUUGAAAACUUUGCUUUGGUAGGCCUUCUAUAUGGGGCCUGCCAGAGAUUAAACUCAACCAAAUUUUAUUUAAUGUCAACCGAUUAUUUAAUAGUCAAAACUUUCAACAACGGAUCUCUUGGUUCUCGCAUCGAUGAAGAACGCAGCGAAAUGCGAUAAGUAAUAUGAAUUGCAGAUAUUCGUGAAUCAUCGAAUCUUUGAACGCACAUUGCGCCCUUUGGUAUUCCAAAGGGCAUGCCUGUUUGAGCGUCAUUUCUCCCUCAAACCCUCGGGUUUGGUGUUGAGCGAUACGCUGGGUUUGCUUGAAAGAAAGGCGGAGUAUAAACUAAUGGAUAGGUUUUUUCCACUCAUUGGUACAAACUCCAAAACUUCUUCCAAAUUCGACCUCAAAUCAGGUAGGACUACCCGCUGAACUUAAGCAUAUCAAUAAGCGGAGGA